GGCAGUGUAGCAUAGUGGUAAGGCACAGGGCUCGUAACUGAGAGGUUGUUGGUUCAAUUCCCCGCUGGGU